UCUAACUUUCAGGUCGCUUUGAUUAAACUGUGAGGAGAAAACCACCUACUCAAGCUUCAGUAAUGGCAGGAGCCCCUCCCCCUACCAAGCUCAAGUGUCCCA